AGGAAGUGCUACAUGCAUGCUUUGUGUGGAAUAGAAAAAUAUGACAAGUUGGCAUCUAUACCCACACUUUCUUUGUUUGGUGUUGAUACAGAAUGUUACUGCUGUGCACCUCUAAGAAAAUAUGAUAAAAAAGUGAUUUUUCAAUGCACUUAUGGAUACUGAUGACACAUGAUUUGUAUGCUGGGGCGAAAGGACAACGGUGGAUUGGAGGCAGAAAAACAGCCGCUCGCCAUUCCUGUUUAGUCAGUCGCUGGUGAAAGAUGAGCAACGAGAAGGCAGGAGGGGGCUGGAGUGAUGAAAGGGUGGAUGAGAGAUAAGAAUGAAGGGAAGAGAGACCUGCUUGGUAUUCACCUGUCUCUCUGGAUCAAUAAAGAUUGCUGCGGCAGCACAGCGCUGACUGGCUCUGACAGGACUCUCCUUGGACCUCUCCUCCGGGCCAUUUGUCAGCAGGCAAACCCCGCACAACAGAGUACAGAUUGGCAGUUGACUGUAACCGCGUUCAGCGAGAACGAGCAUAGGCACCGUAGGGGCUGUGAAUGAGAAAUAAUACAGAGCCGAGCUGAGUAAACAUGAUCCUCCAGUGUAAUGAAUCAGUUCACACUUCCUUGACAACAGAAGCCUGUCGGGUAUAAAUGAAAACAUGCAUAAAUAUUCUCCCUGGUUAAUAUUUUAUCAGUUACACCCGCCCAGCAUCCACACGAAACACCACAAAGUGAUGAACCAGCAUCCAUCUGAACGGUGACCAUAUGUUGUUCCACAUUUCUUGUCCACUGUCUGUGAGUUCAGUGAGAGGCACAGCUUGUUUUCUACAAGUCUCUUCUUCCAAGGUGAUUAAUCAUAAUUUCAGACAGAACGCUAAAGUGAAAAAACACCUUAAUUCUCCUGAGUGUUGUAUUGUUUGCUGUUCAACACCCUUGAAUCUCCUGCAGCAAAAAGGGUUUCAUUAAACACCCAUUCUGCAGUAGGAUACUUAAAUCACAGCUGGUGUAAAAGCAUGGGUGACUAUGUUUUUAUAGAUGAGAAAGGAGAUAUGUGGUUCUAAUUAGACCACUGGCUAUCUCAGCGGACCUCCUGUCACUGCCUGAGCCCAAACCCGCUCUUUAAUUACUCACAGAGAAAAGAGGAUGUCAAGUGAAAAUAGCAAGUAGGCUCCAUGUAAGACAUGCUGGAUGAUUUCUGCUGUGGAGCAGCAGAAAUUCAGACUACAGCACUGGGAAGGAUUCUUUAGAUGUGCAGUCCACCACAGACAGCUGAAUGCGACUUUGAAAGAAUAAUUAUGAUAGUAGCAUAAAAAUCAGAAAUUCUAAACUACAGAAUUUAAGGACAAGUUCUUUUAUUUUAUUUCAUGUUUUAAUUUUUAGUCAUGCUGAUGACAUGGCUCUUUACAAUGUCGGUCAAUUGGUCCACCACUUGUCCAGACUGAAAUAUCUCAACAACUAUUGGAUGGAUUGUCAUGAAGUCUUGUACAGACAUUCAUGGUUCCCGUAUGAUAAAUCCUAAUGAUUUUGGUGAUCCCCCGACUUUUCCUCUAGA